UGAAACUCAUCAACCUAUUACACCGUCUUGUUUAUAGAAACUUCUCCUUACCACGUAACUAUUCUACACCUCAUUGCACAUAUCUACGCCUCAUACGCAUCUAACGAUCCUUCGCAUUCCAUGCCGGGAAGAUAACGAUGUCGUUAUUCUUCUCCUUAUAUAGAGAAUGACGUCAUUUCAAGCAAUAAAUUUCAAACACAAUUUAAAUAAUCUCUACUCUUUCACAUGAUGAAUUAAGCAUUUGAGUGCUAAUCUUACAG
rnacentral:lncRNA from 1 species